AAAUUGAAGAGUUUGAUCAUGGCUCAGAUUGAACGCUGGCGGCAGGCCUAACACAUGCAAGUCGAGCGGAAACGAGUUAUCAGAACCUUCGGGGGACGAUAGCGGCGUCGAGCGGCGGACGGGUGAGUAAUGCCUAGGAAAUUGCCCUGAUGUGGGGGAUAACCAUUGGAAACGAUGGCUAAUACCGCAUGAUGCCUACGGGCCAAAGAGGGGGACCUUCGGGCCUCUCGCGUCAGGAUAUGCCUAGGUGGGAUUAGCUAGUUGGUGAGGUAAGGGCUCACCAAGGCGACGAUCCCUAGCUGGUCUGAGAGGAUGAUCAGCCACACUGGAACUGAGACACGGUCCAGACUCCUACGGGAGGCAGCAGUGGGGAAUAUUGCACAAUGGGCGCAAGCCUGAUGCAGCCAUGCCGCGUGUAUGAAGAAGGCCUUCGGGUUGUAAAGUACUUUCAGCAGUGAGGAAGGUGGUAGUGUUAAUAGCACUAUCAUUUGACGUUAGCUGCAGAAGAAGCACCGGCUAACUCCGUGCCAGCAGCCGCGGUAAUACGGAGGGUGCGAGCGUUAAUCGGAAUUACUGGGCGUAAAGCGCAUGCAGGUGGUUUGUUAAGUCAGAUGUGAAAGCCCGGGGCUCAACCUCGGAAUUGCAUUUGAAACUGGCAGACUAGAGUACUGUAGAGGGGGUAGAAUUUCAGGUGUAGCGGUGAAAUGCGUAGAGAUCUGAAGGAAUACCGGUGGCGAAGGCGGCCCCCUGGACAGAUACUGACACUCAGAUGCGAAAGCGUGGGGAGCAAACAGGAUUAGAUACCCUGGUAGUCCACGCCGUAAACGAUGUCUACUUGGAGGUUGUGGCCUUGAGCCGUGGCUUUCGGAGCUAACGCGUUAAGUAGACCGCCUGGGGAGUACGGUCGCAAGAUUAAAACUCAAAUGAAUUGACGGGGGCCCGCACAAGCGGUGGAGCAUGUGGUUUAAUUCGAUGCAACGCGAAGAACCUUACCUACUCUUGACAUCCAGAGAACUUUCCAGAGAUGGAUUGGUGCCUUCGGGAACUCUGAGACAGGUGCUGCAUGGCUGUCGUCAGCUCGUGUUGUGAAAUGUUGGGUUAAGUCCCGCAACGAGCGCAACCCUUAUCCUUGUUUGCCAGCGAGUAAUGUCGGGAACUCCAGGGAGACUGCCGGUGAUAAACCGGAGGAAGGUGGGGACGACGUCAAGUCAUCAUGGCCCUUACGAGUAGGGCUACACACGUGCUACAAUGGCGCAUACAGAGGGCGGCCAACUUGCGAAAGUGAGCGAAUCCCAAAAAGUGCGUCGUAGUCCGGAUUGGAGUCUGCAACUCGACUCCAUGAAGUCGGAAUCGCUAGUAAUCGUGGAUCAGAAUGCCACGGUGAAUACGUUCCCGGGCCUUGUACACACCGCCCGUCACACCAUGGGAGUGGGCUGCAAAAGAAGUAGGUAGUUUAACCUUCGGGGGGACGCUUACCACUUUGUGGUUCAUGACUGGGGUGAAGUCGUAACAAGGUAGCGCUAGGGGAACCUGGCGCUGGAUCACCUCCUUA
rnacentral:rRNA from 1 species